AUCCCGACAUUCUUUAUCGCCGCCGAAUCCUCGGGGGCUUUAGGUGGGAGGAGGGCCGUAGUCCCUGAUCCUGCUUGAAACAGUGAAAGGAAGUUGAAAUCCUUACAAUAAUAAAAGUUUCAAUCAGCUGAUGCAGUAUUGUCACAAUAUAACUUUAUUAUUUAGUUUGGUUUUGUUACACAUCAAUCCCUGACAAUGAAGAACCAUGAGCGUGCAGCAAAUGUCGCUCUUUUAGGUCUGACUUUGGCACCACUUUUCAUUAAGGUAAAUCCAAAUAUAAAUGUAAUAUUGUCAGCUUGCUUGACUGUAUAUGUUGGGUGCUACAGAUCAGUCAAACCCACACCACCAUCUG